ACGCACGCUGGCGGCGUGCUUAACACAUGCAAGUCGAACGGAAAGGCCCUGCUUUUGUGGGGUGCUCGAGUGGCGAACGGGUGAGUAACACGUGAGUAACCUGCCCUUGACUUUGGGAUAACUUCAGGAAACUGGGGCUAAUACCGGAUAGGAGCUCCUGCUGCAUGGUGGGGGUUGGAAAGUUUCGGCGGUUGGGGAUGGACUCGCGGCUUAUCAGCUUGUUGGUGGGGUAGUGGCUUACCAAGGCUUUGACGGGUAGCCGGCCUGAGAGGGUGACCGGCCGCAUUGGGACUGAGAUACGGCCCAGACUCCUACGGGAGGCAGCAGUGGGGAAUAUUGCACAAUGGGCGGAAGCCUGAUGCAGCAACGCCGCGUGCGGGAUGACGGCCUUCGGGUUGUAAACCGCUUUCGCCUGUGACGAAGCGUGAGUGACGGUAAUGGGUAAAGAAGCACCGGCUAACUACGUG
rnacentral:rRNA from 1 species